rnacentral:rRNA from 1 species
GCGAAAAACCUUACCCACCUUUGACAUGUACGGAAUCCUUUAGAGAUAGAGGAGUGCUCGAAAGAGAGCCGUAACACAGGUGCUGCAUGGCUGUCGUCAGCUCGUGUCGUGAGAUGUUGGGUUAAGUCCCGCAACGAGCGCAACCCUUGUCAUUAGUUGAUACAUUCAGUUGGGCACUCUAAUGAGACUGCCGGUGACAAACCGGAGGAAGGUGGGGAUGACGUCAAGUCCUCAUGGCCCUUAUAGGGGGGGCUACACACGUCAUACAAUGGAUGGUACAAAGGGUCGCCAACCCGCGAGGGGGAGCCAAUCCCAUAAAGCCAUUCGUAGUCCGGAUCGCAGUCUGCAACUCGACUGCGUGAAGUCGGAAUCGCUAGUAAUCGUGGAUCAGAAUGUCACGGUGAAUACGUUCCCGGGUCUUGUACACACCGCCCGUCACACCAUGGGAGCGGGUUCUGCCAGAAGUAGUUAGCCUAACCGCAAGGAGGGCGAUUACCACGGCAGGGUUCGUGACUGGGGUGAAGUCGUAACAAGGUAGCCGUAUCGGAAGG